AUUGAACGCUGGCGGCAGGCCUAACACAUGCAAGUCGAGCGGAGCGGCGGACGGGUGAGUAAUGCCUAGGAAUCUGCCUGGUAGUGGGGGAUAACGUCCGGAAACGGGCGCUAAUACCGCAUACUAUCAGAUGAGCCUAGGUCGGAUUAGCUAGUUGGUGGGGUAAAGGCCUACCAAGGCGACGAUCCGUAACGGGUCUGAGGGGAUGAUCAGUCACACUGGAACUGAGACACGGCCCACACCCCUGCGGGGGGGAGCUGUGGGAACUUUUGGACAAUGGGCGAAAGCCUGAUCCAGCCAUGCCGUGUGUGUGAAGAAGGUUUUCGGUUUGUAAAGCACUUUAAGUUGGGAGACGUACCCAACAGAAUAAGCACCGGCUAACUCCGUGCCAGCGGCCGGGGUAUAC
rnacentral:rRNA from 1 species